AUGGUGCACGAAAUGUGUUCAACUAUUUCACAUGCAGUUGGGAAGCUUGUUUCUGGUAUUGGGGGGAUAGAUGAUGCGCAAGAGGGGACAAGCAGAUCAGAGGCUGUUCAUGUGGAAAAGAGGAGGCAAGAACCUACUAGGAGAUCCAAACAAGCUCCAGCUGUGAGAGAAAGCUUAUUGAGUGAAGAAGACUCGUUCAAAACUGACAGUGAGGAAGAUGCAAGUGGCAGUGACGAAAGUGACUGGGACAGAGGGGGUGAUGAAAGUGACAACGACGGCCACUCAAGCAAUGAUGAUGGUGACGACUUUGUAGUUCAAAAAGCUGGAUGCAACAACAACGAGGAGGGAGAAGCAACUUUUUAG
rnacentral:rRNA from 1 species